GAUGAACGCUGGCGGCGUGCAUAACACAUUCAAGUCGAACGGAGCUAUUGGAAUUAAUCCUUCGGGAAGCGUAAAGAUAGCUUAGUGGCGGACGGGUGAGUAACGCGUGAGCAACCUGCCUCUGUAUACGGGAUAACGUUUGGAAACGGACGCUAAUACCGUAUAAAGCAUAGACAUCGCAUGGUGACUAUGCCAAAGAUUUAUUGUACAGAGAUGGGCUCGCGUCUGAUUAGUUAGUUGGUGAGGUAACGGCUCACCAAGACCGCGAUCGGUAGCCGGACUGAGAGGUUGAACGGCCACAUUGGGACUGAGACACGGCCCAG
rnacentral:rRNA from 1 species